GAACAUUGAAGGGAAAAAUAGGAGUUCGGUAAUACAUUCAUUUUUUUUUUUUUUACCAAAACGUGAAAAACUACGGUUAUUAUUAGACAACAAUGUGAUUAACCACUGGCAUUGGGCGUGUUAGAUUCACUUUCCAGUUUCUCAGUCAAGGAAUUCGGUGAAGUUAGUAGCUUAUUAUUCAUUAAAAUUCCAACUUGACCCGAGUGCUGUGAAGCUGGUUG
rnacentral:lncRNA from 1 species